GACGAACGCUGGCGGCGUGCUUAACACAUGCAAGUCGAACGGAAAGGCCCAGCUUGCUGGGUACUCGAGUGGCGAACGGGUGAGUAACACGUGGGUGAUCUGCCCUGCACUCUGGGAUAAGCCUGGGAAACUGGGUCUAAUACCGGAUAUGACCAACUGUCGCAUGGUGGUUGGUGGAAAGCUUUUGCGGUGUGGGAUGGGCCCGCGGCCUAUCAGCUUGUUGGUGGGGUAAUGGCCUACCAAGGCGACGACGGGUAGCCGACCUGAGAGGGUGAUCGGCCACACUGGGACUGAGACACGGCCCAGACUCCUACGGGAGGCAGCAGUGGGGAAUAUUGCACAAUGGGCGCAAGCCUGAUGCAGCGACGCCGCGUGAGGGAUGGACGGCCUUCGGGUGUAAACCUCUUUUUCACCGGACGAAGCGAGUGACGGUACCUGGAGAAGAAGCAC
rnacentral:rRNA from 1 species